GAUGAACGCUGGCGGUAUGCCUAACACAUGCAAGUCGUACGAGAGUUUUUAACUCUAGUGGCGGACGGGUGAGUAACACGUGAGAAUUUGCCUUUAGGAGGGGGACAACAAUCGGAAACGAAUGCUAAUACCCCAUAUGCUUUCGAGUGAAAUGGAUUUUAUCCGCCUAGAGAGAAGCUCGCGGCUGAUUAGCUUGUUGGUAAGGUAAGAGCUUACCAAGGCGACGAUCAGUAUCUGGUUUGAGAGGACGAUCAGACACACUGGAACUGAGACACGGUCCAGACUCCUACGGGAGGCAGCAGUGGGGAAUUUUCCGCAAUGGGCGAAAGCCUGACGGAGCAAUACCGCGUGAGGGAAGAAUGCCUAUGGGUUGUAAACCUCUUUUUUCAGGGAGGAAUAAAAUGACGUGUACCUGAAGAAUAAGCAUCGGCUAAACUCCGUG
rnacentral:rRNA from 1 species